CCCUAACCCCCGUCGCUCCCCAAAAUCGUAGCUUCCCUACAAAACCCGCAUUGCGAAACCCUAAUUCGUCGCUCUCUUCGGCAAUGACGAAGGCGUACGGAACAGGCGCGUACGAUUUCAAGCGCCACCAUGUUACCGAGUACCCGGUGGAGCUGAACCACCAGCUUGGAGAGAAGCCGGUGGAGGCUAAACCCGGCGCGGCGCUGCCGAGCUCGAUAACGCUGUCGGAGAUUCAGAGGGACCAGCUCACUAUGAUUGCCGCUGCCAAUUGGUCCAAAGCCAGCGGGCAGGUGUAGAAGGCGUUCGACGCGGAGCUGGUGAAGAAGAUUUACGAGAC
rnacentral:lncRNA from 1 species